GACGAACGCUGGCGGCGUGCCUAUUACAUGCAAGUAGAACGCUGAAGGAGGAGCUUGCUUCUCUGGAUGAGUUGCGAACGGGUGAGUAACGCGUAGGUAACCUGCCUGGUAGCGGGGGAUAACUAUUGGAAACGAUAGCUAAUACCGCAUAAGAGUAGAUGUUGCAUGACAUUUGCUUAAAAGGUGCAAUUGCAUCACUACCAGAUGGACCUGCGUUGUAUUAGCUAGUUGGUGGGGUAACGGCUCACCAAGGCGACGAUACAUAGCCGACCUGAGAGGGUGAUCGGCCACACUGGGACUGAGACACGGCCCAGACUCCUACGGGAGGCAGCAGUACGGAAUAUUCGGCAAUGGACGGAAGUCUGACCGAGCAACGCCGCGUGAGUGAAGAAGGUUUUCGGAUCGUAAAGCACUGUUGUAAGAGAAGAACGAGUGUGAGAGUGGAAAGGUCACACUGUAACGGUAUCUUACCAGAAAGGGACGGCUAACUACGUG
rnacentral:rRNA from 1 species